UUCAGAGGAAGCACCUUGGAUCCUUGUCUUUACUUUAUUGGACGCUCUGUUGCUGUUGCUCGGAAUGUACUUUGUCAACGAUUGCUUGUACAGAAGUAAAGAUGAUGACAUGUUAUAUUCCAGAGCCAUUUGCUACACCUUAUGCCCGGGUGAGACUAAACUCAAAGAGGAUGACAUGUUAUAUUCUAGAGCCAUUUACUACACCUUACGCCCAGGUGAGACUAAACUCAAAG